rnacentral:lncRNA from 1 species
UUGGUUGUUGAGUGAAAACGAUGACGUGGAGAAGAAGAUACUUGAAGAAGUGAGAAACAAGGGAUCUUUAGGUUUAGGGUGUGAGGAUUUGAGAGAGAUGAGUUACACGAAAGCUUGUCUCUGCGAAGCAAUGAGGCUUUACCCACCUGUGGCGUGGGACUCAAAGCAUGCAGCAAACGACGACGUUUUACCAGACGGGACACACGUCAAGGAGGGAGACAAAGUUACUUAUUUCCCUUACGGUAUGGGAAGGAUGGAAAAAGUGUGGGGUCAAGAUUGGGACCAGUUUAAACCGACCCGCUGGUUUGAUGAAGAACCAAAUUACGGUACAAAACCGGUUUUGAAAAGUGUGAGCUCGUUCAAGUUUCCUGUCUUCCAAGCCGGACCAAGGGUUUGUAUAGGGAAAGAAAUGGCGUUUAUGCAGAUGAAAUACGUGGUUGGAGGUUUUAAAUUUUAAAACAAAUUUAAAGAUUAUAGGCUUCAUAUAUAGAGCAUUUACCGAAAACUCACUUAUUUUCGUAGGGGGUACACAUAGAUUUUGAGAAAAAUUCAAAUUUUUGACAAUACUGUUUUAAUACAUAUAUAAAUCAUGUAAUAAUAUAUGAUGAAAUUCAAAGAGGUUUGGAACAUUUGUUGUCUCCGUUUCUCUAGGGAAUAGCAAUUUUAUAGUGGUUAGUCCAAUGAUUUAGGGAAUAUUUGCAGUUUUGCUAAAUUAAUGGAUAAAAAUUUAGAACGAUGUGCAUGUACCAUGAAAAGAAGUUUAUCAUACAUUAAUACAAAGGUAUAAUGUGGUUUUAAAUUUUAAAACAAAUUUAAAUAUUAUAGGCUUCAUAUUUAGAGCAUUUACCGAAAAUCCAAUAUUUUCAUCGGGGUUGUUAACACAUAGAUUUUGAAAAAAAUCAAAAAAAUAAAAAAAACUGUUUUAAUACAUAUUUGAAUCAUGUAAUAAAAUAUGAUGAAGUUCAAAGAGGUUUUGAACCUUUGUUGUCUCCGUUUCUCUAAGAAAUAUCAAUUUUAUAGUGGUUAGUCUAAUGAUUUAGGGAGUAUUUGCAGUUUUGCUAAAUUAAUGGAUAAAAAAUUAGAACGAUGUCCAUGUACCAUGAAAAGAAGUUUAUCAUACAUUAAUACAAAGGUAUAAUGUGGUUUUAAAUUUUAAAACAAAUUUAAAGAUUAUAGGCUUCAUAUAUAGAGCAUUUACCGAAAACUCACUAUUUUCGUAGGGGGGUACACAUAGAUUUUGAGAAAAAUUCAAAAAAUUUGACAAUACUGUUUUAAUACAUAUUUGAAUCAUGUAAUAAAAUAUGAUGAAGUUCAAAGAGGUUUGGAACCUUUGUUGUCUCCGUUUCUCUAGGGAAUAGCAAUUUUAUAGUGGUUAGUCCAAUGAUUUAGGGAAUAUUUGCAGUUUUGCUAAAUUAAUGGAUAAAAAUUUAGAACGAUGUGCAUGUACCAUGAAAAGAAGUUUAUCAUACAUUAAUACAAAGGUAUAAUGUGGUUUUAAAUUUUAAAACAAAUUUAAAUAUUAUAGGCUUCAUAUUUAGAGCAUUUACCGAAAAUCCAAUAUUUUCAUCGGGGUUGUUAACACAUAGAUUUUGAAAAAAAUCAAAAAAAUAAAAAAAACUGUUUUAAUACAUAUUUGAAUCAUGUAAUAAAAUAUGAUGAAGUUCAAAGAGGUUUGGAACCUUUGUUGUCUCCGUUUCUCUAGGGAAUAGCAAUUUUAUAGUGGUUAGUCCAAUGAUUUAGGGAGUAUUUGCAGUUUUGCUAAAUUAAUGGAUAAAAAAUUAGAACGAUGUCCAUGUACCAUGAAAAGAAGUUUAUCAUACAUUAAUACAAAGGUAUAAUGUGGUUUUAAAUUUUAAAACAAAUUUAAAGAUUAUAGGCUUCAUAUAUAGAGCAUUUACCGAAAACUUACUAUUUUCAUAGGGGUUUUGCUAAAUUAAAAUUUAAAGACAUCGUUAACACCUAGAUUUCGAGAAAUUUUUUCCUGGGAUGGUCGGGAGCAUUGACUGUAUGCAUUGGGAGUGGAAAAAUUGCCCGACCGCUUGGAAAGGACAAUACACACGUGGAUCAGGAAAACCGACAAUUGUAUUAGAGGCUGUAGCUUCACAAGAUCUUUGGAUAUGGCACGCCUUUUUUGGUCCUCCAGGUACCUUAAACGAUCUCAAUGUCCUCGAUCGGUCUCCUGUUUUUGAUGACAUUUUAGAAGGUCGUGCCCCCAGGGUAAAGUACGUGGUCAACGGGCAUCCGUAUAAAUUGGCGUACUACCUCACAGACGGGAUAUAUCCAAAAUGGUCAACAUUUAUCCAAUCUAUCACACUCCCCCAAACUCCUAAACAAGAGUUAUUUGCUAAAGUUCAAGAAGCAAUCCGUAAAGAUGUGGAGCGGGCUUUUGGAGUUCUACAAGCCCGGUUUGCAAUUGUGAAAAACCCGGCUCUUUCAAUGAACAAGACAAAGAUAGGGAAGAUUAUGAGAGCAUGUAUCAUACUACACAAUAUGAUAGUCGAAAAUGAACGAGAUGGAUACAUUCGUUACGAUAUUUCAGAAUUUGCAGAAGGAGACGUCACCAGAAGUUCAGAGGUCGAAACCGAGAGGCCUACAAAUCUGAAUGUUUCCCAAUCGGAAUGAUCUUCGUGAUAGGCAAAUACAUGAACGAUUGAAGGAUGAUUUAAUCGAAAAUAUUUGGAACAAAUUUGGUGAGGAAGAUUAAUAAUUAGUGUAUUUUAAGUUUUAUCAUUUUAUCUUUUUUUAAAAAAUUCUAUGUAUUGUAAUAUUUUAACUUCUAAUAAUUUAAAAUAAUUUUUCAUUUUAAAUUUUUUUUUUUCCUCUAAGGACUCUUAAUCGGAUAUCACCAUUGCACCGAGCUUCUUAAUAUAAAUCCUUAACUAUUUUAAAAAAAAAAUAAUAAUAAAAAAAAUGGUAAGGACUCCCCUUGGGGGACGACCAUUGCAUAUGCUCUAAGCCUAAUUUUUGUUGACACGAUUCCUUUUAAAAGUAGUUUAAAAGUAGUUUUACAAGUACAUUAUGGUCUCUCAACAAUACUGUAUAAUACUAGUAUUUUAGUCAAGUUUAAUUAAAGAAUUUAUCUUAAAUAUGUAUAUAUGUCGAUUGAAAUAUCCAUCUAAGUUUAACAUAGUAUUAAUAUAUUUAUUGUAGUUUAAUUUUCUAAUUUAUCUUAGAGAAGUUUUCAUUAAUGUUUUUAAGAUAUAUCAGAUUAUGUUUUAAUUAUAUUUAUUUGUAUUAGUUAAUCACAUUUACAACCACUAGGUACAUGAUUUUUUUUUUAAAGUAGCAAAUACAUGUUGCUGAAGAAAAAUAUGUAAAUAUAUAAUAAAUGGAUAAUAUAAAGAGUUUAGCAAAACAAGAAUAAUAUAAAGAUAUGAAAUACAUUUUAUUAUGUUUUCUGGACUGAUAUGGUCGGAGCCACAACUUGUGUUCUGUUGCUUCUGUAUUGUCAUAUCCUCUUUGACUCCCUAUAUAGGUUCGGUUCCUACCGAGAUCACGAACAAUACAUCAAAAACAAUAACUCCAAUUACCAAAAGAAAAAACAAAGAAUUCAAAAAUGGAAAUUCUCACUGCAUUUCUCUCCAUACUUCUCACCUUAGGGUUUAUACUACUCUUCUCAUGUUCAACAAAAGCCCUAAAACAACAAACCAAACCACCGUCGUAUCCACUCAUUGGCUCAAUCCUCUCCUUCAACAAAAAUCGCCACCGUCUUCUCCAGUGGUACACCGAUCUCCUCCGUCUCUCUCCGUCUCAAACCAUCACCAUCGAUCUCCUCCUCAACCGCCGCACCAUCAUCACGGCCAACCCCGAAAACGUUGAGCACAUUCUCAAAACAAACUUUUGUAACUUCCCUAAAGGCAAACCUUUCACCGACCUCCUCGGAGAUUUACUAGGCGGUGGUAUCUUUAACUCUGACGGCGAGCUAUGGAGCUCGCAGCGAAAACUCGCGAGCCACGAGUUUACAAUGCGUUCCCUUAGGGAAUUCACUUUCGAAAUCCUCCGCGAAGAAGUCGAAACCCGCCUCAUUCCGGUUCUUUACUCCGCGGCUGACUACUGCGGAGGAAGGACGGUGGAUUUUCAGGAGAUCUUGAAACGUUUUGCUUUCGAUGUGGUUUGUAAAGUUUCUUUAGGUUGGGAUCCGGAUUGUUUGGAUUUGACCCGACCUGUUCCAGAUCUUGUCGAGGCUUUUGACGUAGCGGCUGCGAUCAGCGCUCGGCGCGCUACGGAGCCAGUUAACGCCGUGUGGAAGCUGAAGCGUUUCUUCAACGUGGGGAGCGAAAGGAGGCUCAAAGAAGCGAUCAGGACCGUGCACGUGUCCGUCUCUAAGAUCAUCCGUGCAAAGAAGAAGUGUCUCGAUAUCGGCGGUGACGUUUCAGACAAGCAAGACCUCUUGUCGAGGUUUCUUGCCGCCGGCCACGACGAGGCAUACGUGAGAGAUUCUGUUAUCAGCUUUAUCAUGGCGGGGAGGGAUACCACGUCGGCGGCCAUGACGUGGCUUUUUUGGUUGUUGAGUGAAAACGAUGACGUGGAGAAGAAGAUACUUGAAGAAGUGAGAAACAAGGGAUCUUUAGGUUUAGGGUGUGAGGAUUUGAGAGAGAUGAGUUACACGAAAGCUUGUCUCUGCGAAGCAAUGAGGCUUUACCCACCUGUGGCGUGGGACUCAAAGCAUGCAGCAAACGACGACGUUUUACCAGACGGGACACACGUCAAGGAGGGAGACAAAGUUACUUAUUUCCCUUACGGUAUGGGAAGGAUGGAAAAAGUGUGGGGUCAAGAUUGGGACCAGUUUAAACC